rnacentral:lncRNA from 10 species
AGCUGCAGUUGAUGGAGUGAGGAUGAGCAGAACCCUGCUUAAAGAGAGGGAGGCAAUAGGUGGUGGCUACAUGCUCCUGGGGUCUCAUUAUACGGCCCAGGCUGCUGGUCUAGAACUCCUAGGCUCAAGUGAUCUUCUUGCCUCAGCCUCCCUAGUAGCUGGGAUCACAGGGGUGAGACACUGCACCCAGCUAAGACUUUAAUUUUUUUAAAGCACAAAGUUUAAGAAAAAAAAUGUGACUUCCCUGGAGUAACUAAAAUAUUUUCUUCUUGUGGACAAAUAGAAUACCAGCACUGACCAUGUUUCUUUUUCUACCUUUGCUGCCAGAAAUAUGGGGUCCAAAAUCUUAGGCUGUUUGUAGCAAUUGAGCAGGCCUGUGUGACUUGCAUAUCUGUAUUCUGAUUUUCUUGAAAUUAUGACUCAUUUUAAAUCCUACUUUCAAUUUUUUGUUAUAUUUAUUGUGUGUUUUUCAUAAGCUCUACAAAAUCUUUUGGGAAUGAGGCAGAAUAGAAAUAAUUAAUACUAUGUGAUGGCAAUUAACACUUACUUGAAUUUUGAACUUCCAGCCACUUGUAUUGGUGCUAUAUAGAUACAAUACUCUUUCCUUCUCCUUUCUCCUGACUCUUCAUUCUCUCUCAGCUUUCACAUCAUCUCCUCCAGGGAUGAUACUGUGAAUCCCUGGACUGGGCUAACUGCCCUUCCUCUCUGACUCUUUCUCUCUAAUAAAAUUGUUAUUACUUUUAGCCCAUGAUUUUGACAUUAGGUAUCUGCCCUUGUACCUAUCUUUUCCAUUCAUUAGACUGUAAGUUCCUUGAAAACAAGACUUUUUUUUUUUUUUUUAAGGCAGGGUCUUGCUCUGUUGCCCAGGCUGGAGUGCAGUGGCGUGAUCUCAGCUCGUUGAAACCUCUGCCUCCCAGUUUCGAGUGAUUCUCCUGCCUCAGCCUCCUGAGUAGCUGCGACUACAGGCUCGCGCCACUAAACCUGGCUGAUUUUUGUAUUUUUAGUGGAGACGGGGUUUUACCAUGUUGGCCAGGCUGGUCUCAAACUCCUGAUCUCGGGUGAUCCAUCCGCUUCAGCCUCCCAAAGUGCUGGGAUUAUAGGCAUGAGCCACUGCGCCCAGCCAAAAACGAAAAUCUUACCUUGUCUUGUUUACAGUAUUUUCCUAUGUGUGUGGCACAUGGAAGGCACACAAAAAUACUGAGAUGUAAUUUUUCUUUCACAGAUAAUAUGUGUGUGUGUUUGUUAACUUGACAGGAUCUGUAGUUGACAGUGAUUUGUUAAUUCAAUAUAGCUUUUGUUUUGUCUUGCCUUGUGCUCUAACAGAUGUAACAGGCAAAAAUUUUCUUAGGGAAAAAGUCAAGUUGUAUGACUUUAUUGAUCUCAAAUCUUAAACUUGCAUGGAUAAUGAUAACAUAAUAAGAGUAUAUGCUCAUUGACAAUGCACAUUGACAUUUAUAAUAAUCACAUUUUAAACUUGGUUUUCUUUUGCUUUUUGAUCUUUCAAUUUUGAGAUCUGAAUUACUUGUAAUGCUGUUGAAUUUGAUGUUUUGAGGGGUUAAAUGGUCCCAGAAAGAACAAGAACUCUGUAUGAACCACGUGUAUCCUUUUGGUUUGAAGUGUUUAUAGUUCAAUGACGGCCUUUCAAGGGGAGUUUUCUCCUCUGUUCAUCUACAAGCAAUGGGGCAAAACUCUAUGCUCAAGAAUAGUCAUCACCCAGAAAUGAAAGAUUACAUAGGAAACAUGAUGAAAUCUUUGGAUAUUGCUUCAGAAUUAAGCUUAGUUUUUGGAGUGGAAAAAUCUGAGUCCCAUGCUCAUUUGGCUACAUUCAUGGCAGACGUCUCUUGCAGCCAGUCAUAAGUGACUGUUCUUCCCUGGCCACUAUUUUAAGAAGAGUUAGAAGACAUUACUCACUGCCACUUCUUCUGAACUCAUGAUGCCAAGUCUGGCAGGGGCAUUCUGUUCAAAAAGAAAUAUUGCGUCAAAUUACGAACCAGCUACCUUCUUAUCUACUCAAGACAAAGUUAAAAGUUAUUUAGUUUUCACUUAAACCUUAAUAUUAAUGCUGUG